ACGCUAGCUACAGGCUUAACACAUGCAAGUCGAGGGGCAUCAGGAAGAAAGCUUGCUUUCUUUGCUGGCGACCGGCGCACGGGUGAGUAACACGUAUCCAACCUGCCCUUUACUCGGGGAUAGCCUUUCGAAAGAAAGAUUAAUACCCGAUAGCAUAAUGAUUCCGCAUGGUUUCAUUAUUAAAGGAUUCCGGUAAAGGAUGGGGAUGCGUUCCAUUAGGUUGUUGGUGAGGUAACGGCCCACCAAGCCUUCGAUGGAUAGGGGUUCUGAGAGGAAGGUCCCCCACAUUGGAACUGAGACACGGUCCAAACUCCUACGGGAGGCAGCAGUGAGGAAUAUUGGUCAAUGGGCGCUAGCCUGAACCAGCCAAGUAGCGUGAAGGAUGAAGGCUCUAUGGGUCGUAAACUUCUUUUAUAUAAGAAUAAAGUGCAGUAUGUAUACUGUUUUGUAUGUAUUAUAUGAAUAAGGAUCGGCUAACUCCGUGCCAGCAGCCGCGGUAAUACGGAGGAUCCGAGCGUUAUCCGGAUUUAUUGGGUUUAAAGGGAGCGUAGGUGGACUGGUAAGUCAGUUGUGAAAGUUUGCGGCUCAACCGUAAAAUUGCAGUUGAUACUGUCAGUCUUGAGUACAGUAGAGGUGGGCGGAAUUCGUGGUGUAGCGGUGAAAUGCUUAGAUAUCACGAAGAACUCCGAUUGCGAAGGCAGCUCACUGGACUGCAACUGACACUGAUGCUCGAAAGUGUGGGUAUCAAACAGGAUUAGAUACCCUGGUAGUCCACACAGUAAACGAUGAAUACUCGCUGUUUGCGAUAUACAGUAAGCGGCCAAGCGAAAGCAUUAAGUAUUCCACCUGGGGAGUACGCCGGCAACGGUGAAACUCAAAGGAAUUGACGGGGGCCCGCACAAGCGGAGGAACAUGUGGUUUAAUUCGAUGAUACGCGAGGAACCUUACCCGGGCUUAAAUUGCAGUGGAAUGAUGUGGAAACAUGUCAGUGAGCAAUCACCGCUGUGAAGGUGCUGCAUGGUUGUCGUCAGCUCGUGCCGUGAGGUGUCGGCUUAAGUGCCAUAACGAGCGCAACCCUUAUCUUUAGUUACUAACAGGUUAUGCUGAGGACUCUAGAGAGACUGCCGUCGUAAGAUGUGAGGAAGGUGGGGAUGACGUCAAAUCAGCACGGCCCUUACGUCCGGGGCUACACACGUGUUACAAUGGGGGGUACAGAAGGCAGCUAGCGGGUGACCGUAUGCUAAUCCCAAAAUCCUCUCUCAGUUCGGAUCGAAGUCUGCAACCCGACUUCGUGAAGCUGGAUUCGCUAGUAAUCGCGCAUCAGCCACGGCGCGGUGAAUACGUUCCCGGGCCUUGUACACACCGCCCGUCAAGCCAUGGGAGCCGGGGGUACCUGAAGUACGUAACCGCAAGGAUCGUCCUAGGGUAAAACUGG
rnacentral:rRNA from 1 species